AAUAGUUCAAAUAAAUUUGAAGAGCUAAAAGUUGAGGGCCAAUUGCUUGAUCACACUUGUAUUGAUGUUGUCCCUGUUGAGGAGAGUGCACUAGAGUUAUGCAAUAAAGUAGAUAAUAUAAUUUUUAAAAACUCUAGUAUGUGUAAAUAUGAGGUUGUAAAUAAUAAAACAAUUCAUGGGUUUGGACGCAUUGGACCUCAUUUCAACCACUUUUCCACAUUAUGUUUAGAUGAUGAGAAAUUGUAUGACUCAUCUGAGCCUAUAGAAGAGUGUAUGGAGGAGGAAAAUUGUGUCGAUAUUCUUGAAUAUUGUUUCAACAUCGAAAAAUUACAUUCCGCACAUAGGAUCCAAGAAGUGCAUAAUGCAAUAUUUGUUCUUUGGGAUCUUUAUUUUUAUACAACCACCCCUUGAGCUUAAUAGAAAAAUCUAUGUGAAAUUAGGGGUGCAAUUCAUAUCUUCAAAGUGGAAGAAAAAUAGUAAAAUUGAUAGUGUCAUGCCGCGACGUUAAUUAAGCAUUUAAUUGGAGGCAACCCAAUUAGUAGUUUAACUGCUUUUUUUAUUUUAUUUUAUUAGUAACACAUUUUUUAUCUUAUUUUUGCAGAUUAGGGAAAAGUCUCACUACCCGACCAAAAAAAAAAGGAAAGGAGCACAUUUGAGCUUAAGUGUGGGAUGACGACCCUUGAUAUAAACUUAGAGAACAUGCUACUAGCUAGGCCUAAAGGCCUCAGGAAGUUUUCCUAACCCUUGUUUUAUAUUUUAUUUAUUGCUUUAGGGACAUAACAUCUUUUUAAGUGUGGGUGGAUGAAUGAUUUCCUAAUUUUACUAUUUUAUUGAGUCUUUUUUUUAAGGAUGGGUUCAUUGGCUUUUAUUUUCGAUUCUUUUCCUGAGAAUAAUCCCUUUGAACCGAGUUUUUUUUAGGAAUAAAUUUUAUUGCUUUUAGUAUUAUUAUUUUUUUGGAGAGAAAAGAAAAUACUCUUUUGAAGUAUGUGAUACUUACUAUUUAAACCUAAUUUUAACGAGUACUUCUUGUUAAUGCUCGAUUGCUAGUGAAAUUGCAAACCUUUUGACACCUAGGUUAAUGAGUGUAACUUAUUAUGUAGCUUUUUUAUUUUGUAGUUUGUUAUGAUCAUGUCUCUCUUAGAAAUAGAAUUGAUUCAUCUUGGUUGAUACUUGUGCCACGUGUCGUGAGAUUUUGUUUGUUCCAUAUUUUGCAUCUUAGUCUAGAACUUGCCUGCAUGUUAUUAAAGCGAAAUAAAAAGUGUUGCUUUGCUUAGGAGAUGAUGUUAGGCUUUUUUUGAUUUGUCUUGUAAAUUUUAUCCCUUUUGAGAUAUUUAAUCAUUAGCUAUCUCUUUUGAGCUUGUAGCCUUUUGUUGGUAGCCAUAUUUUACCCUAACCUAUUUUGUUGAAUCCCUAAUUUUUGCACUUUGCUUCCUUGAGUAUUAUAACAUAGACUUAUUCUAAUUUUCAGUUUUGAAAAAAAAAGGUAUGAAUGAGUGAAAAAGUAAUCAAUCAUAGCUACAAAGUGCUUAGAAGUCCUCUUUGAAAGAUGUGACAUAAAAAAAUGUGAGAUACAAAAGAAGAAAAAAGAAAAAAAUAUUAUCUUGAUGAUGACCCUGAUCCUUCCAAGGACAAUAUACAACUUAAAUCAUGUAAAAUAUGUAAAUUGAGAGUGACUAUUAUGAAAGAAAAAAAAUAUGAAAAAAGUUGAUUGAAACAUUCUUGAGAUGAUGAGAGUUGUGAAAUUCUUUCUUAGAGAGGUUUGUAAAUAAAGAGAAGAAAAUAUUGGGUGAUGAAAUCUAAAACAAGUAAAGUGCUUAAGUAAGUGUAAAUCAAUAUUAUAUAGUUUUCCUAUCCGUCCCCUAGCCAAUAUACAACCUGUUAAAGUCCUAUUUGAUUCAAUUCAAGCAUGCCUAAUUAGUGGAGAUUCACAUAAUAGGCAAGCAUAUGGUUCUUUGUACAUACAUGUGAAUUUUAUUUGUGAGUGUGAGAGUUGUUCUGGAUAUGAAGUCCAUAAUUUAUUUUCAAUCUUUUGAAUUGAGGGUGUGGACUAUUUCUUCUUAUCAGUGCACCUGUUUCAUGAUUGAUAGGUGAUUUUAUCAACUCUCUUUGAUGAGAGUAGGUGAACAAGCUUAGAUUGAAUGAUUGGGAAGUCUACUUGAUGUUUUUAAAUUGGUAUAUGGCCUAAUUGUUUUUAUUGACCAAAGUGAUUACAUUGCCAGUAGGAUUUUUUUUUAGAUGAGGGUUAAUGUUUGCUCGAGGAUCAACAAAAGUUUUAAGUGUGGGGUAUUGAUGUGAGACCAAAAUACACAUGUUUUAUCAUUAUUUAGCUCACAUUUAUUACUUAUAUUUAUCCAUUUUGAGCAUAAAUUUUAUGUAUUGUGCUUAAUUGUAUAUUUUAUUUACAGAAUUAAAUUUGUGUGAGAAUAAAAAAGUUUGGAACUAAAAUAAUUUAAUAAUGGAACGUGAAGAAGAAAAUCAAACUGACAGAUUAGUAAAUUAAAUUUAAUAUAAUAAUAUAUAAACAUAAAGUGCACAUUGCAACAUAAAAAUUUCAUCUUUGAAUUGGGAAACUUGCUGCCACGUGGCAGCAAGUGAAGACGAGUAAUUUUUGAGGUGACAAUACUUUCACCGACAGCUCACGCGGCGGGAAAAAAGGAAUUCAAUUCCUUUUGGUUUGAAUUUCGAAUUUAAAUUGGACUCAAUUAUUUUAUUUAGGGUUUUUUUUUUUAUAAAUAGUCCAUAAAAUUAUUUUUUGGGGAAGAAGGCCAAGAAUCAAGAAACAAAACACAAUAGAAAUUUUCUUCUAGAUUUGGAACAUUGGAAGAGCUGCCGUGAAGGCCGGAAAAUUGUGGUUUAUUCUUUCUUCUUCUUUAUUAUUUAUUUUUAUUCGUGAUUAAUAAAAAAUAGUUUAGCUAUUGUUCUUAAAUUUAUAUCAUUAACACAUGUAUAUUUAUUUUAAUAAAUUUUGAUUGUGUUUUUGAUAUAAUGAGUAGCUAAAUUUCAUAAUUAGGGUUGUGAGAACCAUAAACAAUUAACAAAGUACGAAUAGUAACUAAGCAAUUCUCAAAUAGGUUCUUGCAUGUAUUGAUAAUUCUUUCGUAUAGACGUCUUUUUAAUGAGUACAUGUGUUAGAACUAGCCUUGUUGCUAGUUGCUGGACGAAUCUUUUUAUAAAAUAAAUUGAAUAUUUAAACUUUUAUGUUUUAUAAGUUUGAAAUGCGUUUUGUCGAAAAAAGAAUUUUAUAUAAAUAUAUUGUAAUUUAAGUUCUUAAAUACAUUAUGCGUGCGUGAUUUUUAAUAAACCAAGAAAGAUUGUAAUUUUUUUUUUUGAAAAUUCUCACCUAUUAAGUUUUUAAAUUUAUUUUAUUUACUUGGCAUUAAUUUUUUUAAAAAGAAUUAUAUUUUUUGUUUGUGUAACUUCUCGUAUUCUAGACAAACUAAAAUUAAGUUAAGAAAAUCAAGGAGCAACAAAUUUGGAAAAAAUGGGAAAAUCUGGAAAAUUUCCAAAUUCCAAAAGUGGAUUUUGGUCAUUUUCGAAGAAUCAUAACUUCCAUCUCAGGAGGAUUUUGGGUAGUUCUUUAUAUGGAUGGAAAGCUCGUUGGAUGAUCUUACCAAUGACGUCAAGUUUGCAAAUUUCUGAGGUUUUAUGAGUGAGAUAUGACCUUCGGAAGAUGGGCUAUUGAGCAAGGAAGUUCAAAAACCGGAUUUAGAAAGGGUGUUUUCGUCUUUCCCUAAGUCAAUUAAUUAUUUCAUUUUGGAGUAAUAUGUUGGGGUCUAAACUGAUCCCAUCAAUUUACGCACUUAGACAAAAAGACUAGGAUUUUGAAAGCAAGAAGAAAUGAGGAGAAGGAAGAAGAAGACGCGAGAACACCAAGUUUAGCUUCGUGGAUUUUCGUCGUGGGUGAUCCCUAAUAAGAUGCAGGUACCCAAGUCUGCACGCAGUGCUUCGUUGAUUCCAGAUUGAGCUUCAGAGUUUCUAGUGAGCCUUCUUGCAUUCUGGAGGACAUCCUUUUUUACCUCUAUAUUAGCUUAGAUUUUUUAGGAUGUUGUGAGGUCUUUCCCAACAUCCCUCUCUAGAUAAUUUAGAGGCUUCAUAGGUUAUAGUAUUUCGAGUUGUUUUUAGUUAUUAAGACUCAAAUGCCUUUUUGGAAAAAUUUAUGACAUGACAUAUUUCCCUUUUA